GACGAACGCUGGCGGCGUGCUUAACACAUGCAAGUCGAACGAUGAAGAAAAGAAUCGAAGCUUCGGCAGAAAUUCAUUUCGGAUUAGUGGCAGACGGGUGAGUAACGCGUGAGCAACCUACCUCUUACAAAGGGAUAGCCUCGGGAAACCGGGAUUAAUACCAUAUAACAUUGUGACGAAGCAUUUCGAUGCAAUCAAAGCUACGGCGGUAAGAGGUGGGCUCGCGUCCCAUUAACCGGAUGGUGAGGUAACGGCUCACCAUAGUGACGAUGGGUAACCGGCCUGAGAGGGUGAACGGUCACACUGGAACUGAGACACGGUCCAGACUCCUACGGGAGGCAGCAGUGGGGAAUAUUGCACAAUGGAGGGAACUCUGAUGCAGCGACGCCGCGUGAGUGAUGAAGGAAUUCGUUUCGUAAAACUCUGUUCUAUGGGAAGAAAAGGACUGUACCAUAGGAGAAAGCUCCGGCUAAAUACGUG
rnacentral:rRNA from 1 species